rnacentral:rRNA from 1 species
UGGCUCAGAACGAACGCUGGCGGCGCGUUUUAAGCAUGCAAGUCGAGGGGUAGGGUUCCUUCGGGGACCUGAGACCGGCGAACGGGUGAGUAACACGUAGGUGAUCUACCACGAGGUUGGGGAUAGCCCAUGGAAACAUGGGGUAAUACCGAAUACGAUCCACGAACUGUGGUUUGUGGAGGAAAAGGGCUUUGGCCCUGCCUUGUGAUGAGCCUGCGGCUGAUUAGCUAGUUGGUGGGGUAAAGGCCUACCAAGGCAACGAUCAGUAGCCGGCCUGAGAGGGUGAUCGGCCACACUGGGACUGAGAUACGGCCCAGACUCCUACGGGAGGCAGCAGCUAAGAAUCUUCCGCAAUGGACGAAAGUCUGACGGAGCGACGCCGCGUGGGUGAUGAAGGCCGUGAGGUUGUAAAGCCCUUUUCUACCUGAGGAAUAAGCGCAGGAGGGAAUGCCUGUGUGAUGACGGUAGGGUAGGAAUAAGCCCCGGCUAAUUACGUGCCAGCAGCCGCGGUAACACGUAUGGGGCGAGCGUUGUUCGGAAUUAUUGGGCGUAAAGGGCGUGUAGGCGGAUAUGCAAGUCUGGUGUGAAAGACCGCAGCUCAACUGCGGGUACGCGCUGGAAACUGUAUAUCUUGAAUCCUUGAGGGGGAACUGGAAUUCCUGGUGUAGGGGUGAAAUCUGUAGAUAUCAGGAAGAACAUCAGUGGCGAAGGCGAGUUCCUGGCAAGUGAUUGACGCUGAGGCGCGAAAGCGUGGGUAGCAAACAGGAUUAGAUACCCUGGUAGUCCACGCCGUAAACGAUGUGCACUAGGUGUUGGGGUGUUGAAAACCUCAGUACCGGAGCUAACGUGGUAAGUGCACCGCCUGGGGAGUAUGCCGGCAAACGGUGAAACUCAAAGGAAUUGACGGGGGCCCGCACAAGCGGUGGAGCAAUGUGGUUUAAUUCGAUGAUACGCGAGAACCUUACCAAGGGCUUGACAUAUACCGGGAGUCGUGAGAGAUCACGGUGCCCU